CAUUGCGCGAAUGAGUUCGUAAGAAACGGUCGAUAUUGUGGAAAAACAAGUCGUGGAUCUUGCACCAGGAUAAAGCGUGAAGCGUUAUUUGGCCGUUUAAGGCACUCCAGUACUCGAACACGCAUCUUACUCACCCGACUUGGCACCCUGCGACUUUUACUUGUUUCCGAAGAUAAAGUCUCCCUUAAAAGGAAUCCGGCUUGAGUCGAUGGAAGAGGUGAAACAAAAAUCGGCGGAACUCCUGAAUGGUCUUACCAAAACAGACUUCCAGCACUGCCUCGAGCAAUGGAAGAAACGAAUGAAACGGUGUGUAGCGAGGGAAGGGGAGUAUAUUGAAGGGGAGCAUUUGAAUGUAGAAUAACUUUUAUAAUAAAACACUUUUUCGUAACCAGUCUCGUUAUUUAAUAGCCACACCUCGUAUAGUAAAUUAUUUUUAAAUUUUGAAUACGAAAUUUUUUGUAUUAUACAUAUUUUUUUGCAUGGUAAGCAGACACAAACACGUAAGGGCCUAAGUUCCCAUAUCACUUCUAAGCCUCAAGAUACAAUAUAUAAGUUAUCUCACUUUUUACUACCAC